rnacentral:rRNA from 1 species
GUAGGGAAUAUUGCGCAAUGGGGGAAACCCUGACGCAGCGACGCCGCGUGAGUGAUGAAGGCCUUCGGGUCGUAAAGCUCUGUUGCAGGGGAAUAAAAAAAUGAAGGUACCCUGUGAGGAAGGAUCGGCUAACUUCGUGCCAGCAGCCGCGGUAAGACGAGGGAUCCUAGCGUUGCUCGGAAUCAUUGGGCGUAAAGAGGGCGUAGGUGGCUUGAUAAGUCAGGUGUGAAAGCCCAGGGCUCAACCCUGGAAGUGCAUUUGAUACUGCUGAGCUUGAGUGUCGGAGAGGUUACCGGAAUACCUGGUGUAGUGGUGAAAUACGUAGAUAUCAGGUGGAACACCGGAGGCGAAGGCGGGUAACUGGACGAACACUGACACUGAGGCCCGAAAGCGUGGGGAUCAAACAGGAUUAGAUACCCCGGUAGUCC